rnacentral:lncRNA from 1 species
UCAGUCACAUAUACGUAGAAGAACUCGAUUUAGUCAAACAAAAUAUAAAUACAAAUUUACAGCUUGACGAAAAAUCACAUUAAAUCCACUAGUCUUCAAUUUUAGAAAACAAACGCUGUAACUAGUUGUCCAAUUGAAGAGAAGUUGGUUUUUCUCCUCUACACAUUUCUUCUUUUUGCUGGGGCCCACCACACAUUUCCUCCUUAUAAUCUCAUAGCCUGCUUAUGCUUUGCUGCGUAUCCAUCCAAAUUCUAGCGCACAAACAGCUGCUUCAUCCCAAGAAUAAUAAUAAACACCAGCAAUCGUAGCAGCAUCUGCAGCGGCUGCUCUACCUCCUGCUGCUUGCUCCGCUCGACGCCAAGGAGCCCCGGACGAUUUGGUGACUCGCAGUGCCUUCUUUAACCGGCAAGCGCCGUGCCACGCUGGAUACAAAGAAACCACUAGCAGGAUAAAAAAUAGAAGGUCUGUAAUUCAUACUUCAUCAAGUCGCUCUUUUGCAUUUGUGUAGGAAAAACUCCUUUUGGGUGAAAAGAUGUGCAUUAUUAUAUUAAUUUGUACAUACCAAUAUUUUGGAUAUUGUAGCAUUUGCACGGUUGCGAGAAAACACAUGUUCUGCCAUCGACCAUCAGUCCUGAGUCGACAGAUGUAGUAAACAGAAAAACAAAUUAGAAAGGAUACACAAGUGCAAUCUAUAGUUGAAACAAAAAGAAAUAAAUUAGAACUCACGUUAAGUAUUUUUAAGGAAAAAAAAAGAUCCUGUUGAAGUACAAUGCUGGACUAAAAAAUCAAUCCAAUAUUUUAGAUCCCGUGGAAAGGAUAAAUAGCACAGGAAACUGAAUAGUAGUUCUAAAAAGAGGAAUUCGGAGAAAGGAAAAUUGCACAAAUACACUAUCUUUAGGGUUGAGGUAAAAGAAAAGCCACAAGUCCAAGGGAUUUUAAUUAAUAUCCACAACUCCGUGGAUAAGUUUUAACAAAAAAAAGACACAUAAUUUCUCUGAUUAGUCACUUAACACGAAAUAUGACGCAGAGGUUCCACGUCUCGUUGACUAGAGGGACGGCUCAGCUUGAGUCGAGCCUGGUUCUGCUUGGCUUUUGUUCUCAACCAAAUCUGAUAAAAGGUGUGUUUUUUGUUACCACAUUUCUGGACUUGUGCGUAUCAGUUAAAAUCCUCUGGACUUGUGGUUUUGUGCUGCAUCAGCCUUAAAGGUUGUAUAUCCGUGCAAUUUCCUCAUUUAUAAAAUAAUAAUGGAAAAGGUAGAGAAGAAAAUAAUGGAAUUGAAAAUGUGUUAAACAAUAGCAGAAGAGGUUAGCCAUGAAUUUUAUCAGAAUAUGUUCACUGGUUUUGAAGUGUAGCAUGUGGAAUUACUUGAAGCUUACAUUUCUUCUCUUAUUCCCAGCAUCUUCGAUGCUCCCUGUUCUUCUGUUGCUUCUCUUGUCAUAUGUAUUCCAAGCGGCAUCAGUUAGAGCAUUCAAUAAUAGGACUGAUGUGGAUUCCUUGCUGGUGUUCAAGGCAAGCAUAAGCAACCAGCACGGUGUCCUAGCUGCAUGGAACACAAGUACAGACUUCUGCCAGUGGCCAGGCAUCGGUUGCAGCCUUAAGCAUAAGCACAGGGUCACAGUGCUUAACCUCUCUUCGGAGGUCCUUGGUGGCACGAUCGCACCUUCCAUUGGGAACCUCUCUUUCUUGAGAAUUCUAGAUCUCAGGCGGAACAAUCUGCAAGGUGAAAUACCUUCAUCCUUUGGUCGCCUGUCUCGCCUACGAUAUCUUAAUUUAUCCAACAACUCACUUCAUGGUGAUGUAAAUGAUAAAUUGAAGAAUUGCACCAGCCUUGAAAGAAUGCACAUUGGUUCAAACCGUUUGGCUGGAGAAAUCCCUGCUUGGCUCGGAGACUUGUUAAGUCUCAAAGUCAUAGACCUAGGCAGUAACAACUUCACUGGAAUCAUCCCGUCGUCACUUACCAAUCUCUCAGCAGUGCAAGCAAUCUAUUUCAACACAAACCAACUUGAGGGUGUCAUCCCUGAGGGCCUUGGCAGGCUUGGUGGCCUUGCCUACAUAGACUUGGGAGAAAAUUGCCUCUCAGGCACCAUCCCUACAGCUCUCUUGAACCAUUCCUCUCUAAUAGGCUUGGGUGUGGGAGCAAAUGAUUUGUGCGGUAAACUUCCCCCGGACUUUGGGGAUCAGCUCCCAAAUCUUGAGUACCUACUCCUUGGUGUUAACCACUUUACAGGAAACCUUCCAGCUUCUCUUGUCAACUCAACUAAGAUAUAUGAGCUAGAUGUCUCCUUCGACAACUUCACCGGAAUAUUGCCUCCAGAGAUUGGAAUGCUCUGCCUAGAACAACUCACUCUCGGAGCAAAUCAGUUCAUGGCAAAUACUGUGCAGGACUGGGAGUUCUUGACAUUGUUGACAAACUGCACACGCCUCCGUACAUUUAGCCUCCAGCUCAACAUGCUAGGUGGCAUGCUGCCUAUUUCAGUUGCCAACCUAUCAGCACAACUCGAAUUGCUAUAUGUUGGAGCCAAUGAGAUUUCUGGAAAAAUACCAUUUGGCAUAGGCAAUCUUGUUGGAUUAACUCAAUUGCAGCUAGCUAAUAACCAAUUUACUGGUUCCUUGCCUGACACCAUAGGGAGGCUAAAUUCGCUACAAACCCUGGAGUUGCAAAAUAACCUAGUGACAGGGUUCAUGCCAUCGUCUCUUGGGAACUUGACACAACUACUAAAUCUGUACACACACAACAACAUGUUUGAGGGGCCUCUUCCAACAAGCCUCGGGAGCCUACAAGAGAUAAUUUCAGCAACCUUCUCAAACAAUAAGUUCACAGGUCCAUUGCCUAAAGACAUCUUUAACCUAUCGUCACUGUCAGACGCCCUGGAUUUGUCUAGGAAUUACUUUGUUGGUUCCCUUCCACCAGAAGUAAGCGGCUUGACAAACCUUGCACACUUAUACUUAUCACGGAACAACUUGUCAGGGCCCCUACCUAAUACACUCAGCAACUGUCAAAGCUUGAUAGAACUUGGGCUGGACGAUAACUCCUUUGAUAGCAGCAUUCCCUCAUCUAUCAGCAACAUGCGAGGUCUGAUGUUGCUAAAUCUUACAAAGAACAUGCUUUCAGGUGUUAUUCCUAAAGAUCUAGGGCUAAUGAGUGGCCUUCAAGAGUUAUACCUAGCAUGCAACAACUUGUCUGGUCAUAUCCCAGAAAGCUUGGAAAACAUGGCAUCAUUGUACCAGUUAGACCUGUCAUUCAACCAUUUGGAUGGCAAAGUUCCAUCAUGGGGAGUGUUCAGUAAUGCAUCUGGGUUUUCGUUUGGUGGGAAUUUGGGGCUUUGUGGUGGUCUACCAGAUUUACAUUUGCCCCCAUGCCAGCCGGAAUCCGUGGGACAUGGCUUGAGCAAACGCCAUUUGACUAUGAUCCUAGUUACUGCAAUUGCUGGCAUAAUUCUUGCUUUGAGUUUGGUGCUUGUUUUCUUCACAAUGAGAAAGAUAUCAAAAGCUCGGCCUACAACCAUAGGAGGAUUCCAGUUGAUAGUUGACAGUUAUCCCAGAGUUACUUAUGCUGAAUUGGUCCAAGGAACAAGUGGCUUUGCAGUAGACCACUUGAUUGGCAGAGGAAGGUAUGGAUCGGUGUAUAAGUGUUGUUUACUACUAAAAAAUAUGAUGACCACAGUAGCUGUAAAGGUUUUUGAUCUUCAACAGUCUGGCUCUUCCAGAAGCUUUUUAGCUGAGUGCGAGGCACUUAGUAAAAUCCGCCAUCGUAAUUUGGUCAGUCUCAUAACUUGUUGUUCAAGCACUGACUCGAACCAAAACGACUUCAAAUCCAUUGUGUUCGAGUUCAUGCCUAAUGGGAGCCUGGAUAGGUGGUUACACAUGGAUGUACAUGUAUCACAUCAACUUCAAGGCUUGACAUUGAUGCAGAGACUAAAUAUUGCAGUUGAUAUUGCUGAUGCACUAGAUUAUUUGCACAAUAACUGUGAUCCACCAAUAGUUCACUAUGACUUGAAGCCAGGCAACAUUCUUCUUAAUGAGGAUUUAGUUGCUCAUGUUGGGGACUUUGGCCUUGCAAAGAUUCUUUCUGAACCAGCAGCUAACCAACUGAUCAAUUCAAAGAGCACAGUUGGAAUAAGAGGAACAAUUGGAUACGUCGCUCCAGGUAGCUAAACUUUUCUCUAACAUGACAUACUGCACAACAUUAAAUUUGCGUGCAAAUCACUAAUUCUUGUCUAUGCAAUGUAGAAUAUGGCGAAGGUGGCCAGGUUUCUUCAUGUGGAGAUGUGUACAGCCUCGGAACUGUCAUCCUCGAGUUGUUUACAGGCAUGGCACCUACUCAUGACAUGUUCAGAGAUGGGUUGACCCUGCAGAAACAUGCCCAGAAUGCUUUUCCAGAGAUGCUAAUGCAGAUUGCUGAUCCAGUCCUACUGUCCACUGAAGAAGCCAAUACUAAUAGUUUGCAGGAUGGAAGCAACACAAUGGAACAUGCCAUAUUCUCUGUCAUGAAGGUUGCGCUAUCAUGCAGCAAGCAUGCACCGACAGAGAGAAUGUGCAUCAGAGAUGCUGCUGCUGCGAUUCAGAGGAUAAGAGAUGGCUAUGUUAAAGCAAGACAAAAUGAGGGGGUUGUUACAGCUGCAUUUACCGCAAGGCAUUUUGCUGAAACAUCCUGGGCAGCCCCUUGAACUGGCAUCACACACUCACUCUUAAUUAAUGGCCUUGUAGUAGUUAUAUAUUGCACUCCUAUGGUUUUGAUAUGUUAGUUUCUGGCUGGCGAUGUUAUCUUAGCUUGUUGAUCUGCCGUUUGCAGCCUGUAUGUCACUCUGCCUUCAACAGUUAAUAUGGUUUGUAUAUUGUGAUGCCUAAAUACAGAUAUUAGUGAAUUCCCUUCCGUGUAAAAGACAGGUAUAACUGCAUGAUAUAUGCACUAAUAACACGACUGGACAAAUCUGUAUUUUGUUCCCAGGAGUUUAAAUGGUCAUUAUAUGAAGGUAGAUUUGUAUAAAUAAAGGGCAGAUACACGAUAAAUAUGGUAUCAUGAUUCUGUUCUAUUAGAAGAGAAAAAAAAACUCUUUUAGAUGGAGAAAGGAUAUCCGGUACUCACCAUACUCCAGGCGGUCAUUACAUUGCAAUGUCACAGGCAAUACUUGUCUUCAGUGUCUUCUAUCUGCUGUCAUUUAAAAAUGCAACUAUUGCCCCUGCUUUUUCGGAAGGGAAGACAGAAGUGGUGUUAAGCAGGCAGUGAGGAAAUAACAACGCGAUUGAGAAAAAGAAAGUGAACAUUACUGAAUACAAUAACAAUAAUAAUAAUAAUAACUGCUACUGAGACAACAAGUAUAUGCUAUGUACGCACCCUAUAAAAUGUAGUUUGCCUUUUGCCCUCUAAAGUUUUGACCCUAUUUUUCUUCCUCCUCCGGCUCUUAAAAAAAUAUGAUGAUCAAAAUCAAACACCAUGUCCAGAAACCAACAAAACACCCUUAUUGAAACAUAAACCAACAAAGCCAUGAUGUUUAUUUUGGCUCUGCUAUACUACUGGGAAGACUUCAACUCCUACUAGUCUCCCAUUUUUUUUUCGAAACGGAGGCAAAAGAUUUACCUCAUCGAUUAAUUAAGGAGAAGAGAAUUGCCCAGUUAAUUAACGGAAAACCGGGCGAAAACCGAUACAGACCAACCACACGUGGACUACUCACACAACAUGCAA